GAUGAACGCUGGCGGCGUGCUUAACACAUGCAAGUCGAACGAAGCAUUUAGGACAGAUUACUUCGGUUUGAAGUUCUUUAUGACUGAGUGGCGGACGGGUGAGUAACGCGUGGGUAACCUGCCUUGUACUGGGGGAUAGCAGCUGGAAACGGCUGGUAAUACCGCAUAAGCGCACAAUGUUGCAUGACAUGGUGUGAAAAACUCCGGUGGUAUAAGAUGGACCCGCGUCUGAUUAGCUAGUUGGUGAGAUAACAGCCCACCAAGGCGACGAUCAGUAGCCGACGUGAGAGGGUGACCGGCCACAUUGGGACUGAGACACGGCCCAGACUCCUACGGGAGGCAGCAGUGGGGAAUAUUGCACAAUGGAGGAAACUCUGAUGCAGCGACGCCGCGUGAGUGAAGAAGUAAUUCGUUAUGUAAAGCUCUAUCAGCAGGGAAGAUAGUGACGGUACCUGACGAAGAAGCUCCGGCUAAAUACGUG
rnacentral:rRNA from 1 species